AAGGCUGGGGCGCGGCCCGGUGAAGUAAGGGCUAAGAGUCCUGCGCCCAGGACUGCGCGGGCUUCUGCCGUGGGGAGGCGGUGCGGGUGGCUGCCUUGGCCCGCUACCACCACAUUUCCCCUCCACUGUGUUCGUGGCAUCAAGAGUACAGCCCCUUACGGCCAGGCUUCGGCCAGCUGGUCCAGCGGGCCUGGUGCAGAGACGCCCCAGAAGGGAAACACCAGGACAGGUGCAGCUCCAGAUGCCACAGCUCCCAGGGGCCUCUCAGUCAGUCCUGUUGUGGGACCAGAGUUAGGAAGGGCCCUGUCCCUGGAAGAGUCCAGGCCAAGAGGCCCCACUGGCCAGUUAACCCCUGCACUUUCAGAACACCAGUGUGCUAGGUGACCGUCGUGACCCCAGCACCAAAGCCAACCAGGCCAAGACAAGAAAAGAAAAUGAAAGCCCACUUCAUCUAUGAGCCGAGAAACGAAUACCUUCAACAUUAGCGAACCGAUUCCAGCAACAUAAAUCGUGAUAAAUAGUGACGGAGGGCACUCCCUUGCUCCCUCAAGCUGGUCAAGGAAACUGCAGAGCCCAGCAUGAAGAUCGCAGCAGCAAGAGUGCUGUGCUGCCAGCCAGGAGAGAGUGAGGAGGUCCACUGCCCUCCGUGUGGCAGUGUUAGAGGGCACAGCCGUGUAAUUAGAAAGAAAAACAAAAAUCACACCAGUGGAGGGGAAGAUUUCAAUAUGCUUGGUUUGCAGGAGGCCUAGACCAGAGAGCAUUCUCACAACUCAGAAAUAAGAAGACAACUGGAUGAAAACAUUAGACAAAACCCUUCAAGCAAGAAGAGGUGUGCAGGGCACAUAAAUACGUGAAAAAAUACUUCCUUUGUCAUCAGGGGCAGGAUAAGCAGAGCGGCAAGGAAGUGAGACCACAGGGUUGCCAGGGCCAAGGCCAGAACCCCGACCCUGCGCUGCUGAGGGGGUGGGCAUCCCCCAACACACAGGCCAUGGCAGCACACAGCAGUGGAUGCAGUGGUUAUCUUCUGACCGGUGGGACCUGGACUUCCUGCCACAGUUGGCCCCCAGCCCCGUGCCUUAAAGCCAGUGGCCAGGCCUGCCCCUCUUUCCCUUGUGCUUGUCUCAGCUCUCUGCACUCCCAGUGUCCCCCAUGUUCUCUCGUCAUCACCUGUCUCCACAGUCUCAGCACCAGGACACCAGGUCCUUGUCUGGUCCCUGAGUGACUCUCAGGAGCCAGAGGCCAGUACGGCAGGUGUUCAGCGCAUCGCGUGACAUGAGUGAACGUCUUGCCCCAUCAUCAAAUGUCCCUUUGCAGUGUGGUCUUGGGGGCAUCAUCCCUAGAUGCGGUGUCUGUAACUGUGGAGGGAGACGCAGCCCCUUCCUGCAGCUGUAACAGAAUACCCGGGCCAGGACUUAAAAGAGAGCUUUAUGUAGCCAACCAGUUUGGAGGCUGAAAGCCCAAAAGAGCGAUCAGAGGUAACACCAAGAGAGGGCUGCGGGAAGGGCUGACGCCAGGCAGGGGAGGGGCACCACUGGGCUCCUCAGGCCUGGCCCUCCCCCCCAGGUCUGACUUUCCUGCGUCCUCAAGGCCCCGACCUUUUCUGCUGGGCUGCCUAGGUCAUCACUAACCACCCAGAGAGCCUCGGCCAGGCCCCCAAGGUGGGCAACGAGUCCCAUGUCAGCCAUCCUCCCUGGGUAACCCCAGCAGGCGUGGGGUGUCCCAUCUCAGGAGCCCAGGUUUGGCAGGAGCAGUGAGACAGGUGGAGCAGGUGCCGGUUGCAGGUGCUCUCAGGCCACUCCAUGGGGCUCUGUCCAUCCCCAGGUUGAUAUUCAGGCCUGAUAUCCAGCUAGUCCCCACCCUGCUGGCCUGAAGGGCCCAGUGACAACUUCUCUACUCCCCUGCCCCACACUCUGUCCCAGGGCCCGAGGCACUGGGUAUCUGUGUGGGCCUGGCUUGCUGGCAUCUGAUUGGUGGAGCUGUUGCACAAAAGGUAAAGUCUGGGUGACCCCAAGGCCAAGUGGUACAGAUUCCAUGGCAGAGGACACAGAUGGCUUUCCAGUGACUCAGAGAUGGGGUGCCCCAGGCUCGGCCCAACUCAGGUGGGGCCGGUACCUUGUGGGAAGAGUCCCAGGAGUCAAGUGACCACUCUACAGUUGGAUGGAGGCCAGUGUGGUGCAUGGGGAAGGCACACGGCCCUGCUUGCCUUUCCAUCCCUCCUGUCAUUGCACAGAUAUUGGUAUAAGAAGGGGACAAAGGAGCACAGUCCAGGCCCCAGGGAGUGGUCAUGGGGCAGCGUGAGUGUGGGGCUGUGACAGGACUGUCCACUUGAAAUGCUCGUGGGUUUUAUGUACAUGUUACCCUGAUUGGAAACUGUUACCAGGGCGGCUCACUCCCAGGCUCGUAGUUCCCCGGAAGGAGGGCUUCCGGCGCACAGGGAGCCACGGGCGGGGAGCGCCGGUCUUCUGGCUGGCUAG